rnacentral:sRNA from 1 species
UAUUAUUGCAUGCUUAGUGUGUGCCAACUUUAUCAUGGGGCCAGAGCAGAGAACAAGACCAGCUCCCUGCCAGACCAGAAAGCCACAGAGUAAGAGAAGUGAUUUGAUGGGAACCUGGAGAAGGGACCCAGAUAUUAGGGGCUGUGGUUGGCUGUGAGAUGAGAUGGACUCUGACCCCUGGUUCCCCCUGAUUCUAGGUUCCAAUGCUUCGACUUAGCUCGAGGCCUGAAGAGGUCACAGACUGGCUGCAGGCAGAGAACUUCUCCACUGCCACGGUGAGGACACUUGGGUCCCUGACGGGGAGCCAGCUACUUCGCAUAAGACCUGGGGAGCUACAGAUGCUAUGUCCACAGGAGGCCCCACGAAUCCUGUCCCGGCUGGAGGCUGUCAGAAGGAUGCUGGGGAUAAGCCCUUAGGCACCAGCUUAGACACCUCCAAGAACCAGGCCCCG